GAUGAACGCUGGCGGCGUGCCUAAUACAUGCAAGUCGAGCGAAUGGAUUAAGAGCUUGCUCUUAUGAAGUUAGCGGCGGACGGGUGAGUAACACGUGGGUAACCUGCCCAUAAGACUGGGAUAACUCCGGGAAACCGGGGCUAAUACCGGAUAACAUUUUGAACCGCAUGGUUCGAAAUUGAAAGGCGGCUUCGGCUGUCACUUAUGGAUGGACCCGCGUCGCAUUAGCUAGUUGGUGAGGUAACGGCUCACCAAGGCAACGAUGCGUAGCCGGCCUGAGAGGGUGAUCGGCCACACUGGGACUGCGACACGGCCCAGACUACUACGGGAGGCAGCAGUAGGGAAUCUUCCGCAAUGGACGAAAGUCUGACGGAGCAACGCCGCGUGAGUGAUGAAGGCUUUCGGGUCGUAAAACUCUGUUGUUAGGGAAGAACAAGUGCUAGUUGAAUAAGCUGGCACCUUGACGGUACCUAACCAGAAAGCCACGGCUAACUACGUGCCAGCCGCCGCGGUAA
rnacentral:rRNA from 1 species